UACAGAGGGUGCAAGCGUUAAUCGGAAUUACUGGGCGUAAAGCGUGCGCAGACGGUUGCGUAAGUCAGAUGUGAAAGCCCCGGGCUCAACCUGGGAAUGGCAGUGGAAACUAGGGGACUUGAAUCUGGCAGAGGGGGGUGGAAUUCCACGUGUAGCAGUGAAAUGCGUAGAGAUGUGGAGGAACACCGAUGGCGAAGGCAGCCCCCUGGGCUGAGAUUGACGCUCAGGCACGAAAGCGUGGGGAGCAAACAGG
rnacentral:rRNA from 1 species